GCCAUUUCAUAGAGCAUUGUAGGUCUCAUUGCUUGCUUUACCUCCGAAACAAUCGGACCUGACCUUAAAGAGCAGUGCACUCCAUCUUACACCAUAUUCAGGAUGAAGACAAAGUGACCUUCGACAGGUGGGAGUAAUUGCUGUUCAUAAGCAUCACAGUGUACCCCUAUGGACUAGAUCACAGCUACAUUUUGAUGGUCACAGUGCUGCUGCUUCAUUAAUUCAUCAAGCAUAUGAACCUUUACAGAGCUCCGUGUGUGGCCGUGCUGUCUCAUGUCACGCUCGCUGAGGAAUAAAACAGAAGAGUUCUAGCAAAUGAGUUUCUAAAACAAAUAUCUAAGAGAAACUAACAUGGGAAUAAAUAUUUAUCUUUCAUUAAAAGGAGAACCUGUUAAAUGCU